AAUGAACGCUGGCGGCAGGCCUAAAACAUGCAAGUCGAACGCUGUAGCAAUACAGAGUGGCGCACGGGUGAGUAACAUGUGGGAAUAUGCCUUUUGGUACGGAACAACUUUUGGAAACGAAAGCUAAUACCGUAUGGUCCCUUCGGGGUAAAGAUUUAUCGCCAAAAGAUUAGCUCGCAUUAGAUUAGCUAGUUGGUGUG
rnacentral:rRNA from 1 species